UUCCUAAGAAACUAACUUAAGAUAUUACCUGCUCCAUGUUAUUAUCAUAAAUAGCCGCAGAACUCUGUGCUAAGGUAGCAUAAUCAUUAGCUCUUUAAUUAAGAGAUAGAAUGAACGGUCAAACGAAACUUUAACUGUUUCUAAUAUUUAAAAACUAAAUUAAUCAAGUAGUUAAAACUCUACUAAAUAUAAGAAAGACGACAAGACCCUAUAAACUCAUUUAUUUAGCUGGGGCGGCAAUACUAAAAAAACCUUAAAUUAAUUCAAAUAACUAAACAAAUAAAAUUUUAUUAGAAACUAGUUACUUUAGGGAUAACAGCGCUACUUUUUUUUAAAGACCUAAUAAAAAAAAUUCCUACGACCUCGAUGUUGAAUUAUUUACCUUACCCGACGCAAAAGUUAUAAACAGGUAGUCUGUUCGACUAUUAAAAACUU
rnacentral:rRNA from 1 species